rnacentral:rRNA from 1 species
CCUACGGGAGGCAGCAGUAGGGAAUCUUUCACAAUGGGCGAAAGCCUGAUGGAGCAACGCCGCGUGCAGGAUGAAGGCCUUCGGGUUGUAAACUGCUUUUAUAAGCGAGAAAUAUGAUGGUAACUUAUGAAUAAGGAUCGGCUAACUACGUGCCGGCAGCCGCGGUCAUACGUAGGAUCCGAGCAUUAUCCGGAGUGACUGGGUGUAAAGAGUUGCGUAGGUGGCAUAAUAAGUAGCUAGUGAAAUCUGGUGGCUCAACCAUUCAGACUAUUAGCUAAACUGUUAAGCUCGAGACCGUUAGGGGUAACUGGAAUUUCUAGUGUAGGAGUGAAAUCCGUAGAUAUUAGAAGGAACACCAAUAGCGUAGGCAGGUUGCUGGGACGGUUCUGACACUAAGGCACGAAAGCGUAGGGAGCAAACGGGAUUAGAUACCCGAGUAGUC